rnacentral:lncRNA from 1 species
GGAUUUCCUCUGUGCAGCUUUCGAGCGGUAGACUCACCCUGCCAGGCAGACCUAGAUUGGCAUAACCAGAGAUCAGUUCCAGUUGUGAUGCAGUGGGUGUCUACACACUUCUGAUGACACCUUUAUUUUAAAAGCUGAUGUUCCAAGAUUUUUAGGGCAGUUUUUAGUGUCAUUAUGUUGCUGCUACAUAUUUGGAAGAUGGAACAAGCCCAGACAAAGGAGGAUUCUUUUUUACUCAUCUUAAAUCCAUUUUAUUUUCCUUCAUCUGAGCCCCUUAAAACUAAUGUGUUACUGGAAUGGAUUUUCUUCUGUGUAUUGCUGACACGAACAGGAGACGGAAAUACUGAGUAGAAGAGGGCGGUUCCCUGGCUAAGGCCCCACCCUCAAGCCUGGAUACCCGCGGCCCUAAAUGAGAAGAGGCGUUUCUGUUUGGGGCCCAAAAAGUUGCUUUUUGACCCACCACGCCCCCUAUCCUGCCCCCAUAUAAA